AUACUUACCUGGGACAGGAAUACCGUGAUCACGAAAGGGGGUUUUUCCCGGGCGAGGCUCACCAUUGCACUCCGGUGGCGCUGCCCCUGCGAUUAACCCCCAAAAGGGGUUAACUCGAGUGCGCAUUUUUUUUUUAUGGGGGACUGCGUUCGCGCUAUCCCCUA